rnacentral:rRNA from 1 species
CUCCUACGGGAGGCAGCAGUGGGGAAUUUUCCGCAAUGGGCGAAAGCCUGACGGAGCAACGCCGCGUGAGGGAUGAAGGCCUCUGGGCUGUAAACCUCUUUUAUCAAGGAAGAAGAUCUGACGGUACUUGAUGAAUAAGCCCCGGCUAAUUCCGUGCCAGCAGCCGCGGUAAU